rnacentral:misc_RNA from 1 species
UUUGGUUUGUUACGUGUGGUUGGCUGCGGCGUUUGCAACAACUUCCAUGCUUUCAGACCUCUUCAGUUGUGCGGCAAGGCUUGCAUUGCCUUGAGCGUAUUUUGGGUUUUCUGUAUUGGCUACCUAAUCAAUGGUAUCGUUUGGAUUGAUCAAAGUUUGAUUUCGUCUUCCGUCGCGUUUGCGGCGUGAGGUGAACCUUGAUGCGGUCUCUUUGAUCCAUCUCGUUGAAGCACAUACUUUGACGUUGUGGCACAUUGAGCAUUGCUUGGUCUCUUGUAUACGGAACACGUAGUGGGCAUGGAUCUAACGAUUCUUGUUUGCCCUCAUAUUAGCGUAACGCUUCUCUAACACGACUUGCACCACGUUUUAG